rnacentral:rRNA from 1 species
CCACGCUGUAAACGAUGAGUGCUAGGUGUCGGGAGUCAAAUCUCGGUGCCGCAGCUAACGCAAUAAGCACUCCGCCUGGGGAGUACGUGCGCAAGCAUGAAACUCAAAGGAAUUGACGGGGACCCGCACAAGCAGCGGAGCAUGUGGUUUAAUUCGAAGCAACGCGAAAAACCUUACCAGGGCUUGACAUCUAGUGGACGAAUGUAGAGAUACAUUGUUUUCUUCGGAAACUGCUAGACAGGUGGUGCAUGGUUGU